GGAGGGUACAUCUCAGUGGUAGAGUGCAUGCUUAGCAUACACGAGGUCCUGGGUUCAAUCCCUAGGCCCUCCA
rnacentral:tRNA from 1 species